rnacentral:rRNA from 1 species
CGGUAGAGAUUCUUCGGAAUCUUGAGAGCGGCGUACGGGUGCGGAACACGUGUGCAACCUGCCUUUAUCUGGGGGAUAGCCUUUCGAAAGGGAGAUUAAUACCCCAUAAUAUAUUUAUCGGCAUCGAUAGAUAUUGAAAACUCCGGUGGAUAGAGAUGGGCACGCGCAAGAUUAGAUAGUUGGUGAGGUAACGGCUCACCAAGUCUACGAUCUUUAGGGGGCCUGAGAGGGUGAUCCCCCACACUGGUACUGAGACACGGACCAGACUCCUACGGGAGGCAGCAGUGAGGAAUAUUGGACAAUGGGUGAGAGCCUGAUCCAGCCAUCCCGCGUGAAGGACGACGGCCCUAUGGGUUGUAAACUUCUUUUGUAUAGGGAUAAACCUACUCUCGUGAGAGU